rnacentral:rRNA from 1 species
UACGUAGGGUGCAAGCGUUGUCCGGAAUUAUUGGGCGUAAAGAGCUCGUAGGCGGUUUGUUGCGUCGGCUGUGAAAUCCCGAGGCUCAACCUCGGGUCUGCAGUCGAUACGAGCAAACUAGAGUGUUGCAGGGGAGACUGGAAUUCCUGGUGUAGCGGUGAAAUGCGCAGAUAUCGGGAAGAACACCCGUGGCGAAGGCGGCUCUCUGGGACGGUACUGACGCUGAGACGCGAAAGCGUGGGGAGCAAACAGG